AUGUGGAAGGAGAACAGGUCCCCUUUGGCUGGUGUCCUCAGGGGACAGGAGAGCGGAGGCAGGCAGUUCCAGGGAUGGGGGUGGGGCCGAAUCCCUUCCCAGCUCCGGGCCCUUCCCAUGAAAAGGAUGCUGGGGCUUUGGGUCGAUGCGGAUACAGGACUUGGGAGGCAAAGGUGUCGUGGGAUGAUGAGAUGUUUGAGAGUCAAGGGGUUUGGGCUUCGACCCCAGGCAAGUCAUUUAAAUCUCUCCAAGCCGCAUGAAUUUCUCCAUCUGGGAUGUUGCUUCUCUUGGGACUUGCCUCUUCACACCGAAAAUGGAAGUCCAUUUCCGGAAUCUGAGGCAGCAGAACAGGCUUAAAGUGGACUCCUUACCACGGGAACGGUCAGGCAGGUGCAGGUGGCUGCGUGGCGCCGAACUGGGUAUCUCUUCAUCUCGUGCAGGGUUGAGCGAGGUGAGCUCCGAGGUCCUUCCUCACUCUGGGAUUAUCUCAUUCUGGUUCACACCGGCUACAGCGGCAAGCAAACCCGGCAGGGAAGAUGCCCUGCAAACCAGCAGCUGCGCUCUGGGGCCCCUCCGGGAUCAGCGGCCCCCGAGGUGCAUGUGAUACCUAAACAUCCAUCGGGGGCCUCUAAAUAAGGACGCCCGAGUUAUAUCAAAAGGAAAAGUCAAGGUGACGAAGCUACGCCUCCAGGAGAUGAGACACAGCACAGCGGGGAAACGCCUUCAAUCUCCCCCUUGCCAAGGCGGAAAGUUUUGAGGGCCAGGGAUCGGAUCCUGCCACAACAAACACCUUCACGCUCCAGGCCAGUGGAACACAAGCCUUCCAAGGUGUGGCCGGGGCCUCUUUACCACAGGCUGUAUUUGCGUAACUUUCUUCAUUACUCAGUACCGGCUUUGGGACAAUAACGUGACACAUCACAGCCUCCUUCCCCGCCUCCCAGACCGGUCUGUGCACAGCAGUCUGCUCCUGAGCUGGUCAACAUCCUGCUGGACUCGGAGUGUCCCCCGGGUUUAUGGUGAGCAGACGCCUAAGCCAGAUGUGCUGGCUGUCGCUGUCGCUGUCGCUGUCGGCUCUUAGAGAAUUCCUCUUCUUGGACGCGAAACGGGCCUGCCAGUGUGUGACUCCUUCGGCCAGAAUUCUGCAGUGUUUUCAGAGGCCCGUCUCCGUUUUCACUCAGGGGAUUUUCCUCCCCGGAAACCGCCCCCGCUCCUGCUGUCACAGUGGCAGUUUCUGGCUGGGUUGGGCCCCACGGGCCUCACGGCACUGGGAGCCUGAGGCUUGUGUCUCUUAAGUGACACCUCUGAAGAAGAAGUCACUUGUAGGGUGAGAACACUGGCGAAUUUUCCUGCGGGCACC
rnacentral:lncRNA from 1 species